GAUGAACGCUGGCUACAGGCUUAACACAUGCAAGUCGAGGGGAAACGACGGGGAAGCUUGCUUCCCCGGGCGUCGACCGGCGCACGGGUGAGUAACGCGUAUCCAACCUGCCUCUGACUGAGGGAUAACCCGUCGAAAGUCGGCCUAAUACCUCAUGGCAUCGUCUGCGGGCAUCCAACGACGCUUAAAGAUUUCAUCGGUCAGAGAUGCGCCCGCGUCCGCGUAGCUUCGUGGCGGGGUAACGGCCCACCAAGGCGACGAUCAGUAGGGGUUCUGAGAGGAAGUUCCCCCACAUUGGAACUGAGACACGGUCCAAACUCCGACGAUGUGCAGCAGUGAGGAAUAUUGGUCAAGCUGCGAGAGCCUGGACCAGCCGAGUAGCGUGCAUGAUGAGGUCCCUAUGGGUUGUAAACUGCUUUGAUGCGGGGAUAGGGUGAGGGACGUGUCCUUACUUGCAGGUACCGCAUGAAUAAGGACCGGCUAAUUCCGUG
rnacentral:rRNA from 1 species